rnacentral:rRNA from 1 species
AUUGAACGCUGGCGGCAUGCCUUACACAUGCAAGUCGAACGGCAGCGCGGACUUCGGUCUGGCGGCGAGUGGCGAACGGGUGAGUAAUACAUCGGAACGUACCCUGUUGUGGGGGAUAACUAGUCGAAAGAUUAGCUAAUACCGCAUACGACCUGAGGGUGAAAGUGGGGGACCGCAAGGCCUCACGCAGCAGGAGCGGCCGAUGUCUGAUUAGCUAGUUGGUGAGGUAAAGGCUCACCAAGGCGACGAUCAGUAGCUGGUCUGAGAGGACGACCAGCCACACUGGGACUGAGACGCGGCCCAGACUCCUACGGGAGGCAGCAGUGGGGAAUUUUGGACAAUGGGCGCAAGCCUGAUCCAGCAAUGCCGCGUGAGUGAAGAAGGCCUUCGGGUUGUAAAGCUCUUUUGUCAGGGAAGAAACGGCUGGGGUUAAUACCUUCGGCUAAUGACGGUACCUGAAGAAUAAGCACCGGCUAACUACGUGCCAGCAGCCGCGGUAA